GACGAACGCUGGCGGCGUGCCUAAUACAUGCAAGUCGAACGAGAGCGAACGGUGCUUGCACUGGUCAAUCUAGUGGCGAACGGGUGAGUAACACGUGGGUAACCUGCCCAUCAGAGGGGGAUAACAUUCGGAAACGGAUGCUAAAACCGCAUAGGUCCUUUAACCGCAUGGUUGAAGGAGGAAAAGAGGCGCAAGCUUCUGCUGAUGGAUGGACCCGCGGUGCAUUAGCUAGUUGGUGAGGUAACGGCUCACCAAGGCCGUGAUGCAUAGCCGACCUGAGAGGGUGAUCGGCCACAUUGGGACUGAGACACGGCCCAAACUCCUACGGGAGGCAGCAGUAGGGAAUCUUCCGCAAUGGACGCAAGUCUGACGGAGCAACGCCGCGUGAGUGAAGAAGGUUUUCGGAUCGUAAAACUCUGUUGUUAGAGAAGAACAAGUGCUAGAGUAACUGUUAGCGCCUUGACGGUAUCUAACCAGAAAGC
rnacentral:rRNA from 1 species